CCCAGCUGUGUGUCCAUGAAGAGUGACCCACGAAUAAACUGUACCAGUGGAGAUCCAUGGCCUGGUCUCAGUUCAGUUCAUCAGAAGAGAUCAGAAGCAGAGCCCAGCUGUGUGUCUAUGAAGAGUGACCCAUCUAUGGCUGAACCAAUGAAGUGUAACAGUGGAUAUACACAGCCUGAUCUCAGCCAUGAAGUCCUCAACACAUUUAGAGAAAUCUGAGGAAGCAGUUUGAGUGUCUGUAUGAGGGAACAGUGAUGCAGGGAAACCCAACACUGCUGAAUAAGAUCUACACAGAGCUCUACAUCACAGAGAGUGAGAGUGCAGAGAUCAGUAAUGAACAUGAGGUGAGACAGAUUGAGAAACAAUCCAGGAGAGCAGCAACAGAGGACACAGCCAUCAAAUGCAAUGACAUCUUUAGACCUUUACAUGGACAAGUCAAAGCCAUCAGAACUGUGCUGA